GCUACGUGCUUCCUGCGCGCCGCCGCGUGCGUGCGGCAUGGCGGGCGAGGCGCAGUGCCUCAGCUACGCGGGCUGCAACUUCCUGCGGCAGCGCCUGGUGCUGGCCACGCUCAGCGGGCGGCCCAUGAAGAUCCGCAAGAUCCGCGCCAGGGAGGAGGACCCCGGCCUCCGCGAUUUUGAAGCCAGUUUUAUUCGCCUGAUUGACAAAGUGACCAAUGGUUCUCGGAUUGAAAUAAACCAAACAGGUACUACCUUGUACUAUCAGCCUGGUCUUCUGUAUGGCGGCUCAUUGGAACAUGACUGCAGCCCCACUCGUGGUAUUGGCUACUAUUUGGAAAGUCUGCUCUGCCUGGCACCUUUCAUGAAGCAUCCGUUGAAGAUUGUCCUGAGGGGAGUAACAAAUGACCAAGUAGAUCCUUCGGUUGAUGUCCUUAAGGCAACAGCUUUACCCCUACUGAAGAAGUUUGGAAUUGAUGGUGAAAGUCUGGAAAUCAAGAUCAACCAGAGAGGAAUGCCUCCCAAAGGGGGUGGAGAAAUAGUGUUUGCUUGUCCAGUGAGAAGGGUCUUGCAGCCUGUUCAGCUUACAGACCCAGGCAAAAUCAAGCGCAUCAGAGGAACUGCAUACUCUGUCAGAGUGUCACCACAGAUGGCAAACAGAAUAGUGGAAUCUGCAAGGAGCAUCCUGAAUAAAUUCCUUCCUGACAUUUAUAUCUACACGGAUCAUAUGAAAGGGGUCAGCUCUGGAAAAUCACCAGGUUUUGGCCUGUGCCUUACAGCAGAAACCGUCAAUGGCACUGUUCUCAGUGCUGAGUUAGCCUCAAACCCUCAGGGCCAGGGAGCAGCUGUGCUUCCCGAGGAACUUGGCCAGAACUGUGCUAAACUGCUACUUGAGGAGGUCUACAGGGGAGGCUGUGUAGAUUCAACAAAUCAGAGCCUUGCUCUCCUCCUCAUGACCCUUGGACAACGAGAUGUUUCCAAAGUCCUGUUAGGACCUCUGUCUCCAUACACAAUUGAAUUUCUGCGACACUUGAGAAGCUUCUUUCAGAUCAUGUUUAAAAUUGAAACAAAGGCCCCUGAGGAAGAGCACAUGGGUGGGGAGAAAGUCUUAAUGACGUGUGUUGGCAUUGGAUUUUCCAACCUUAGCAAAACUAUAAGAUAAGAAACAUCUGCAGACUUGGUGAAAUGGGGUGACAGAAAAUGCUGUGAAGAUCUGAUAAAACCUGCCUUUCCCUGUGCUUAUCCUGGCACAGGGAAACCAGUGAUGAUUCCAGUGCAGAGCAGCAAAACAAAACCACAACCACCAAACCUCAAGACCUUUUCUCCAGCACUAUACGAUGGAACUUCAAAAGAUAAAUGACUAUUUUGAAUUGACACAUCAAAAGAACAGCUUUGGGAGUUGCCAGGGUGGGAGGAAGGGAGAGGGUGCGGACCUUGUAAUUUUCUAUCUUUCCAAAAUUUCAUUUGCAGCUAAGGAAACAGUAAAUAAAACACUAGAUUGAAAUAAGAGUAAACAGUAGAGUGAAAUAAAAGUUGUUGUUUGGUUUUUUUUUUUAAUUUUAAGCUACAUUAGGAAAAAAUAUGUGGGGAAUAAGAGUUUACCUUUAUCCCCUCUGUCACCUUUGCAAUGAAAAAACCUAGAAACUCUCCAAAUUAAAAUUACCCUAAUUACAGGGAGCCACUGAUCCAAAAGGUGAAAUGUACAAUCUGACAUUAAUAGCCACUAGAAUAAAGAUAUAAAACUUACACUAAUUAAAGAUACAAGAUUGUAGCACAGGUCAUAUUUCCAAAAUUGGCAAGUAAAAUAAGUAAAAAUUUGAAAGUGUUGGCACAACUUCAAAAAUCAAAAGCUUUAUUAUCUUUAAACUUUUAAAGCUCUUAGCUUUGAAGCUGUGACAGCUUUUCCAAAUGUUCGAGUUGCACCAAACAUAGAAACAGCAAUGUGUUGCCCAGGUAGCAGAUUCUUUAGCAAUAGAGUAAGUAGGUCAUAAAAUUACCUGUGUUUAACUAAACCUCAGUGUUAAAGUUGCACUGCUAACCCUUAGCGCUGCUGCAAAUUGUAUAGCUCUACAGCACAAUGCUUGCUGCAACUCAGAAUUACUUGUUGCUUUACAGAGAAAAAGAUACAUACAUGAAAGAAAUACAUUUUCCCAGAACAGCCAGUCUCUGCAGAAACAGGAACAAUUCCAGAGGAGGUUUUAGGACAGGUUCUGGAGUAGUAGAGAUUAUGCUGAAGGUGAAAUUGAUUCAGUCCAAGCCAGCGCACUUUACUGAAGGCAUAUGAAUAGAAACCAGUGCAAUAACUGUCUGGGAAGCACACAAGAGUCUGUAUUUUGGAGAACUACCUCUGUGGCAGUGGUUCAGAAGAAUGAAGUGACUCAUUUGUUUCCCACAGGGAGCUGGACUAGAAAAUACGAAGAUCCACAGAUUCUCAGGUCUGUGCAAACAUUUCCCUCACCUUGUCAGGGCUAUAAGCAUGUUGUGGCUCUACAUUUAUGCUCUUUUUCCGUUGUUGUUGUUUUGUUUAGUUUGCUAUGGGAUUUGUCUGGGUUAUUUUGUCUACAUUAGAUUCCUGUAAAGACUAAACCCUGCCAUUUUUACUUCAGAAAGAUUUCUUUCGUGGUACAUUGCUUUCUCUGCUGUUCUCCCCUCUUCCUGUUGGCUCCGUGGCCUUCCCUCCAUUGUACAAGCUGGAAGAGCACACCCCAGCAUGCUGCUGUGGGGUUCUAGUUGCGGGAUCAUUUCCCUUCUCUGUUCCCUGGUGUGUACAUGGAUUCUUCUGCAGGCUGUCUCCUUGGCCACUCACCCAGACAACUUCCCUCUCUUCUGUCCAGCAGUUAUUGAUCUGCCCCACUGCAGGGACUUUCAUCCAGGGCUUAUAAAAUGGAAAAGCAAAUAGAGUUCUUUUAACUAAACGUGCCCUAGCAGUCCCUGCUGUGGAAACAAAGCACUGUCCUCCUCUCUUCCAUCUCAGAGGUCUCCUUGAAGGCUUGCCAUCUUGAAGUCAGAGAGUUUAGGACCAAGAGCCAUUGCUAAUUACAGAGAGUGUGACCUCCUGGAUAUUAGUACAUUCCUCCUUCAAGAGAAAUAACGAUUUUCAGAGAGGCCUCCAGUCUCCACCAGGAAAACUGAGACAUGGUAUUUCCAUUACACGGUCUUCUGAAUUUGUUCUAGCAUUUAAUCGUUUGCUGCUUAAAAGCAAGUGCUUGCUUUACUUGCUCAGCUUUCAGCUUCUCGUUCUUACAAGUGCUAGACAGCCCUGUGAGAUCCAAUAUGUUUCCACCCCAUGAGUAAUACAUGAAAGACCUCAAAGGAAAAAGAUUGCUGCUUUGGGAUCAGAAAGCCUUACCUGACACACAGGGGAAAAGUAAUGACGUAGCUGAAUUCUCUGAGUUUUAAAGUGCAGCAAAGAAAACAAACUAUUUACUAACACUCAAAAUCAAAGUUUUUGCUGACUGGCAUUGAAACGUAUGUGCUCCCUUAAAACAAAAAGCAUAUCAUCCUACUAAAUGCACAAUUCUUAUGAACUCCUGGGGCUAUGGGUUACACAAGAGCAGACCUUGACAUACAGCUCCACUGUUACGAAGCUGAAAAACUAUUUUCUUUUAAGACCCCCUGUUAGGGAAGCAGACCUAGUGCUGUGUUUACUUAGCAAUAUUGUGGGGUUUUCUCUCGUUAAGCUUCCACUGGUGAAAGCCCUGACUAUGCUUCAUUAUAUAAAGUGUCUACCACUGCUAGUGCAAUGACUAUUUCCAACACAAAGACAGCAUUGGCUUAAGAGAAGGAGUUCUGGGGACUAGGUACUACUUCUUAGCUCUUUGCUUUCCAAAGAAGCAGGGUGGGAAAUAGAAAUUAA